AGUGAACGCUGGCGGUAGGCCUAACACAUGCAAGUCGAACGGCAGCACAGGAGAGCUUGCUCUCUGGGUGGCGAGUGGCGGACGGGUGAGGAAUACAUCGGAAUCUACUCUGUCGUGGGGGAUAACGUAGGGAAACUUACGCUAAUACCGCAUACGACCUACGGGUGAAAGCAGGGGACCUUCGGGCCUUGCGCGAUUGAAUGAGCCGAUGUCGGAUUAGCUAGUUGGCGGGGUAAAGGCCCACCAAGGCGACGAUCCGCAGCUGGUCUGAGAGGAUGAUCAGCCACACUGGAACUGAGACACGGUCCAGACUCCUACGGGAGGCAGCAGUGGGGAAUAUUGGACAAUGGGCGCAAGCCUGAUCCAGCCAUACCGCGUGGGUGAAGAAGGCCUUCGGGUUGUAAAGCCCUUUUGUUGGGAAAGAAAUCCAGCUGGCUAAUACCCGGUUGGGAUGACGGUACCCAAAGAAUAAGCACCGGCUAACUUCGUGCCAGCCGCCGCUGUAAGAC
rnacentral:rRNA from 1 species